GACGAACGCUGGCGGCGUGCUUAACACAUGCAAGUCGAGCGGAGCGGCGAACGGGUGAGUAACGCGUGAGUAACUGCCCCCCUCUCUGGGAUAACAGUUGGAAACGACUGCUAAUACCGGAUAGUGGGGGAUGACUCGCGUCCUAUCAGCUUGUGGGUGGGGUAGUGGCCUACCAAGGCGACGACGGGUCGCCGGCCUGAGAGGGCGACCGGCCUCAUUGGGAGGUGAUACGGCCCAAACUACUACGGGAGGCAGCGGUGGGGAAUAUUGAACCAUGGGGGAAACCCUAAUGCAGCAACGCCGGGUGCGGAAUGACGGCCUUCGGGUUGUAAACCGCUUUCAGCCAGGACGCGGUAGUGGCAGAAGAAGCACCGGCUAACUACGUGCCAGCAGCCGCGGUAAUAC
rnacentral:rRNA from 1 species